rnacentral:rRNA from 1 species
AUUGAACGCUGGCGGCAUGCUUCACACAUGCCAGUCGAACGGUAACAGGCCUUCGGGUGCUGACGAGUGGCGAACGGGUGAGUAAUGCAUCGGAACGUACCCAGAGGUGGGGGAUAACGCAGCGAAAGCUGUGCUAAUACCGCAUGUGAUCUGAGGAUGAAAGCGGGGGACCGAGCAGCAAUGUUUGGCCUCGCGCCUUUGGAGCGGCCGAUGUCGGAUUAGCUAUUUGGUGGGGUAAAGGCCUACCAAGGCGACGAUCCGUAGCUGGUCUGAGAGGACGACCAGCCACACUGGGACUGGGACACGGCCCAGACUCCUACGGGGGGCAGCAGUGGGGAAUUUUGGACAAUGGGCGCAAGCCUGAUCCAGCAAUGCCGCGUGCGGGAAGAAGGCCUUCGGGUUGUAAACCGCUUUUGGCAGGAACGAAACGGUGUCCGCUAAUACCGGGCGCUAAUGACGGUACCUGCAGAAUAAGCACCGGCUAACUACGUG